rnacentral:rRNA from 1 species
AUGAACGCUAGCUACAGGCUUAACACAUGCAAGUCGAGGGGCAGCAUGGUCUUAGCUUGCUAAGGCCGAUGGCGACCGGCGCACGGGUGAGUAACACGUAUCCAACCUGCCGUCUACUCUUGGACAGCCUUCUGAAAGGAAGAUUAAUACAAGAUGGCAUCAUGAGUCCGCAUGUUCACAUGAUUAAAGGUAUUCCGGUAGACGAUGGGGAUGCGUUCCAUUAGAUAGUAGGCGGGGUAACGGCCCACCUAGUCUUCGAUGGAUAGGGGUUCUGAGAGGAAGGUCCCCCACAUUGGAACUGAGACACGGUCCAAACUCCUACGGGAGGCAGCAGUGAGGAAUAUUGGUCAAUGGGCGCAGGCCUGAACCAGCCAAGUAGCGUGAAGGAGGACUGCCCUAUGGGUUGUAAACUUCUUUUAUAAAGGAAUAAAGUCGGGUAUGGAUACCCGUUUGCAUGUACUUUAUGAAUAAGGAUCGGCUAACUCCGUG